rnacentral:rRNA from 1 species
UUCCAGACUCCUACGGGAGGCAGCAGUGAGGAAUAUUGGUCAAUGGGCGAGAGCCUGAACCAGCCAAGUCGCGUGAGGGAUGACUGCCCUAUGGGUUGUAAACCUCUUUUGUAUGGGGGGAAUAAGCUUUACGAGUAGAGUGAUGACAGUACCAUACGAAUAAGCAUCGGCUAACUCCGUGCCAGCAGCCGCGGUAAUACGGAGGAUGCGAGCGUUAUCCGGAUUUAUUGGGUUUAAAGGGUGCGUAGGCGGAUUGAUAAGUUAGAGGUGAAAUGUCCGAGCUCAACUCGGGAACUGCCUCUAAUACUGUUGAUCUAGAGAGUAGAUGCGGUAGGCGGAAUGUAUGGUGUAGCGGUGAAAUGCUUAGAGAUCAUACAGAACACCGAUUGCGAAGGCAGCUUACCAAGCUACUUCUGACGUUGAGGCACGAAAGCGUGGGGAGCAAACAGGAUUAGAUACCCUAGUA